rnacentral:rRNA from 1 species
AUUGAACGCUGGCGUCAGGCCUAACACAUGCAAGUCGAGCGGAUGAAGGGAGCUUGCUCCUGGAUUCAGCGGCGGACGGGUGAGUAAUGCCUAGGAAUCUGCCUGGUAGUGGGGGAUAACGUCCGGAAACGGGCGCUAAUACCGCAUACGUCCUGAGGGAGAAAGUGGGGGAUCUUCGGACCUCACGCUAUCAGAUGAGCCUAGGUCGGAUUAGCUAGUUGGUGGGGUAAAGGCCUACCAAGGCGACGAUCCGUAACUGGUCUGAGAGGAUGAUCAGUCACACUGGAACUGAGAAACGGUCCAGACUCCUACGGGAGGCAGCAGUGGGGAAUAUUGGACAAUGGGCGAAAGCCUGAUCCAGCCAUGCCGCGUGUGUGAAGAAGGUCUUCGGAUUGUAAAGCACUUUAAGUUGGGAGGAAGGGCAGUAAGUUAAUACCUUGCUGUUUUGACGUUACCAACAGAAUAAGCACCGGCUAACUUCGUG